rnacentral:rRNA from 1 species
UGCAAGUCGAGCGACAGACAAGGUAGCUUGCUCCUUUGACGUUAGCGGCGGACGGGUGAGUAACACGUGGGUAACCUACCUAUAAGACUGGGAUAACUUCGGGAAACCGGAGCUAAUACCGGAUAAUAUUUCGAACCGCAUGGUUCGAUAGUGAAAGAUGGUUUUGCUAUCACUUAUAGAUGGACCCGCGCCGUAUUAGCUAGUUGGUAAGGUAACGGCUUACCAAGGCGACGAUACGUAGCCGACCUGAGAGGGUGAUCGGCCACACUGGAACUGAGACACGGUCCAGACUCCUACGGGAGGCAGCAGUAGGGAAUCUUCCGCAAUGGGCGAAAGCCUGACGGAGCAACGCCGCGUGAGUGAUGAAGGUCUUCGGAUCGUAAAACUCUGUUAUUAGGGAAGAACAUACGUGUAAGUAACUAUGCACGUCUUGACGGUACCUAAUCAGAAAGCCACGGCUAACUACGUGCCAGCAGCCGCGGUAAUACGUAGGUGGCAAGCGUUAUCCGGAAUUAUUGGGCGUAAAGCGCGCGUAGGCGGUUUUUUAAGUCUGAUGUGAAAGCCCACGGCUCAACCGUGGAGGGUCAUUGGAAACUGGAAAACUUGAGUGCAGAAGAGGAAAGUGGAAUUCCAUGUGUAGCGGUGAAAUGCGCAGAGAUAUGGAGGAACACCAGUGGCGAAGGCGACUUUCUGGUCUGUAACUGACGCUGAUGUGCGAAAGCGUGGGGAUCAAACAGGAUUAGAUACCCUGGUAGUCCACGCCGUAAACGAUGAGUGCUAAGUGUUAGGGGGUUUCCGCCCCUUAGUGCUGCAGCUAACGCAUUAAGCACUCCGCCUGGGGAGUACGACCGCAAGGGUUGAAACUCAAGGAAUUGACGGGGACCCGCACAAGCGGUGGAGCAUGGUGGUUUAAUUCGAAGCAACGCGA